rnacentral:rRNA from 1 species
AUACGUAGGGGGCGAGCGUUGUCCGGAAUGAUUGGGCGUAAAGGGCGCGUAGGCGGCGCGGUAAGUCUGGAGUGAAAGUCCUGCUUUCAAGGUGGGAAUUGCUUUGGAUACUGCCGCGCUUGAGUGCAGGAGAGGUUAUCAGAAUUCCCGGUGUAGCGGUGAAAUGCGUAGAGAUCGGGAGGAACACCAGUGGCGAAGGCGGGUAACUGGACUGCAACUGACGCUGAGGCGCGAAAGUGUGGGGAGCAAACAGGAUUAGAUACCCUGGUAGUCCACACUGUAAACGAUGAAUGCUAGGUGUAGGGGGUAUCGACCCCUUCUGUGCCGCAGUCAACACAAUAAGCAUUCCGCCUGGGGAGUACGGCCGCAAGGUUGAAACUCAAAUGAAUUGACGGGG